UACGUAGGGGGCGAGCGUUGUCCGAAGUUACUGGGCGUAAAGCGCGCGUAGGCGGCUGUUUAAGUCUGGGGUGAAAGGUUCAGCGCUCAACGCGAACAGUGCCCUGGAUACUGGAGAGCUUGAGUCUGGGAGGGGGCAGUGGAAUUCCUGGUGUAGCGGUGAAAUGCGUAGAUAUCAGGAGGAACACCGGUGGCGAAGGCGGCUGCCUGGCCUAAGACUGACGCUGAGGUGCGAAAGCGUGGGGAGCGAACGGG
rnacentral:rRNA from 1 species